GAGCUAAAACUAGAACCGAGGCCAAAAGGAACCACCACCUUCUACCCGAUCUCCCCCUUUUCCUCUCUUCCUUCGAUUUCGCCGAUCGCCGUCACGACGAUCUGCUCCCGGCCGCCUCAUUCUCCGCUUUCCGAUCUACGCGCUCGGCCUCGGAUCGAGGAGUUCUUAGCUCGGGAGGUUGUAUACAGGUGCUCAGCAAGAUAGAUGGUAUAUAAUGCUGACUUAAACGGCUUUGUCAAUCGCACGAAGAACCCGGAACGUUCGACUUCAAAGGAACAAGGGUGGAAAGAGGGCUUGGGUCCUCCUUGAGAUAAGAAUUUUGUUUUGAGACUUGCAACGAUGAUGGUGGAUUCAGGUCUAGCUUUGGAGCGUGGAGCUGCUGACAAUGUAUCACCUGAAAAGGAUCACGAAGUAAAUAGCAAUUAUGCAAGUGGAAGAUGGAAAAGUGUGGAUGCUCGUUGGCAGUGUGGAUAUGCUAGCUUUAAGGGGAAAAGACCAAGCAUGGAGGAUAACUAUGAUCAUAAAUCAGCCGAAAUUGAUGGAAAAUUGAUCGGCCUUUUUGGGAUAUUUGAUGGACACGGUGGUUCACGCGCUUCUGAAUAUUUGAAGGAACACCUGUUCAACAACCUAACAAAGCAUCCGUUAUUGAUGGUGGAUACAAAAAUCGCAAUAAGUGAGACAUUUAAAAGAACUGAUUCAGAGUUCUUAGCUUCUGAAAGCAAUACGACUAGAGAUGAUGGUUCUACGGCCUCUACUGCAGUUUUGAUUGACAAACAAUUAUAUGUAGCUAAUGUCGGUGAUUCACGUGCCGUAAUAUGUAAGGCUGGAAAAGCAAUUCCUCUCUCUGAUGAUCACAAGCCGAAUAGAAGCGACGAGCGCAAGAGAAUUGAGGAUGCUGGAGGAGUUGUCAUGUGGGCUGGUACCUGGAGGGUUGGAGGCAUAUUAGCAAUGUCUCGAGCAUUUGGCAACCGCCUUCUAAAACAAUUUGUUCUAGCAGAGCCUGAGAUUCAGGAACAAGUGGUGGAUGAGGACUUGGAAUUUCUGGUUUUGGCCAGUGAUGGGCUUUGGGAUGUCGUGUCAAACGAGGAUGCAGUUUCCCUUGUGAGAAUGGAAGAGGAACCUGAAGUUGCUGCUAGGAAGUUAACAGAGACUGCCUUCGCACGCGGUAGUUCGGACAACAUUACAUGCGUUGUCGUUCGAUUUCUUCACAACAGAAUGGAUAUCGAUUAUCCUCCAUUAGUGGCUCAAGAUCAACAUGUUCCAUGUGGAGGCUCUCAAGCUAACCGUUGAGAUGCAAAUCAAAGCAUGACUAGUUUUGCAUAUCAGAUAUUGUGCUGCACCAGCCAAGCAUUAAGCAAUCCAUGGUCGUGACUCGUGACGUUCGGCUUUCGGAGCUGUUCAAUUUGGACCCACAAGUUUGCUCCAAUCCGGACCGAGGGUCGGAGUAGUGGAAGUGUGUCCAGUCUUUUCGUUCUGUAUCUUCACUCCCUCUAUGAUGGGGCCUAUAGAAGGAUGGCCCGUGCCUUUCUUCUUUCUCAAGCAAUGCUAUGUGUCCUGCCUUCUAUCAUCCACAGCCUUCUGCGGAAGAGCAGAGCACUAGCAAAGUAGAUCGCCACCGGAUGAUCCACUUCCCCUGAAGAUCGCCGAAAGUCUCGUCGUUCUAACAACGGUUUGAGUUCGGGCUCUGAUUGAUCCGAUGUCGCGGUAGAGUUUGAUGGCGUCAGAGGAUGUGGUGGGGAAGAGCAUUGGGGGAGUCGGCGGUGGUAACUAUUGUAAGCCUCGCGGAGGAAGCAAAGUUCGAGCGAGAGUGAUUCAAGGCUCCGUCUGCGAUCCUUAGCAUCUGCAAGUCCCUUGUCGCAAGGGGAGUAGUCGCCGGAGGAGUGUAAAUCAACAGUUAGAAGAUCGCGGUACAUGCUAAUGAAAAAUGACUGGCACUGUGAGCAUUUAUUCAUAUUCUCUGUUCCUUACAUUGGAUGAUCAGAUCCAUGGUGAAAUAUUGGGGGUUAGUUAGUUUGGAUAAGCAGGUAAGUGUACAGAUAAGGAAUAUUGUGCUUCCUCAUAUAGUUCAAAGGUUAGAGUGAUGAUUGGUUGAUGAUUCCUGGUCACAGUUCCUCAGGUACUGAGUUCAUCUUUCAGGCUUUUUCUCUGUUAAAAGGGCGAUUUGAAUUGCUACUUGUUUUGCAAAGCAUAAAAAUUUGAAAAUUCUGUACAAGUUAUUCACGAAAUUAAUAGAAUCGUGAAUAACCAUUGGGGAGGAGAAAAGAUGACAUAUUCAAGCACUCCACCGGCCACAAAACAACUAUAGUGGAGCGAGUUCAAGGUAUAUUUUCUUGAGUUUAAUUCAAAUUUAAAGUGAAUAUAUAAUAAAUUAUUUUUCUCCAUUUCAACGGUUAAAUAAUUGGAACCCGAAUGAUGAAAUGGAGAUCCGCAGAAUAUUUAAAAAGAAAUGUGGCGAUCACAUCAGACAUGUAUUAAGUCACGCCAAGAAUCGGGGAAAAAAGUCAAACUUCAUCACAAAAGAAAAUUGGGAGAGAAUCUCCAACUUUUUGAUAACGGAGGAGAGUAAGCAAAGGAGUAACAUGAAUAGAAUGAAUCAGUCUCACAAUUCUGGUGACUCAUCUACUAUAUAUGCGGGAGGCUCCAUUAACAUAGAUGAGCAUAGACGGAGAUUGGUAAUUUGUUAACUCUUACAAUAAUUUUUUAUCUAUAUCAAAUUAUUUGUAAUCAUGUUUUUUCAGAUCAAGGAGAUGGGGAAGGAGCCCUCUUUCAUUGAUACUUUCACCCGCACUUUUAGGAAAAAAGAUAAGACUUGGAGUGGGGCGAGAGCAAAAGCAGUAAAGGAAAAAUUAUGAUGAACUCGAGCUUGCCCAAACAUACUCACAAGCUGGUGGUGUCGAUAGUCAGGGGUCUGAGGACUCUGUUGGCAAUAAUUGGAAGGAUAUUGGGGAUGAGUUCCUUAAGCAAAACCCAAAGAAUAGUUGGAACAUCUUCCUCACCAGCAUUUACAACCUAAGUAAAUAACUUGAUUGAAGAGGUUAGCAAUCUGAAGGAAAUAUUAUCGCAAAGAGACCUAGAAAGGACACAAAGAGACCUAGAAAGGGCAAAAAUAGAGCAAGAUAUGAGAGAGUUGCGCCGACAACAAGAUUUUUCAGUUGAGCUCCACUCAAGGCAGAUUCCUCCGCAUGACGAUGAUGAUAAUGGCGGCGAUGAUGGUGGUGAUGGUUGUUCAUGAUUUUAAUUAUGGUUGGUGAGGCGAAAUAUAUGUCAGAGAAAAAAAAUUAUUUUUCCUAAAGAUGGUGGAGCUCGUGUGAAUGAUCUGUGCAUCGAAGAAGACUUUGGACUCUAGUACCCAAUUCAGUUAAGGUAAGCUUUUCGCUGUUUGAUUUUUAUUAUUUAUUAAUUUAAUGAGCCUUCGUGUGUGAGGUUGUAAAUUACAUCCUUGGAGUAGAAAUAAGAAUAUCGAACUGAAGCCGGAAUUGAAUUGGAGAGACAAUAUUAUAAGUUUUUUGUUUUU